AUGUCCCUCCGCGCCCCCAAUGCCGCGCCAGACCCAGCCACAGCGAGGCGGCGGGCGGAUGCCGUCGGUUGGCUUCGCAUGAUAUUCCCCGACGUGCCUCUGCCGCCACCGUCCGACGCCUCCGACAGCGACCUGCACGCCGCGCUCUCCGGCGGCAGGCUGCUCUGCGCGCUCCUGAGGAAGAUUUGCCCCGGCGCCUUGCUGGACGACGCCUCCACGGACAAUGUCGGCAGGUUCCGCGCUGCCGUCGAGCGGAUGGGCGUGCCUACCUUCAGCGCCUUCGACCUCGAGAGGGGUCAAAUGACAGCUGUUGUGACCUGCAUUCUUGCCCUCAAGGAUCGAUUUGGAUCACGCAUCGGCGAAGAACGGAACCUUACUUUCCUCACCAGAAGCGAUAGCGAGGGAAGCAGAAAGUAUAUGGUUGCCAAGCUGCAAAGAGUGCUCACCAGUCCAAUUAUGUCAGAACCGUCCACCCCUUCAUUAGGGGCCGAUCUGUAUUCUCCGUCAGGGGUACUUCAGAUGAAACAAGGGGGAUUUGCUGAUCUUCCUGGUUGUAAGAUUUCAGACUUGAUGAAAUCCUCCAGCUUGGAUAAUGCACCCACUCAGUCACUUCUGGGUGUCGUGAACAGCAUCGUUGAUGAGAGCAUCGACAGGAAGAACGGACAGAUACCUUAUCGCAUCGCUUGCUUGCUGAGGAAGGUCAUAGUUGAAAUUGAACGGCGUAUGUCUUCUCAAGCUGGGCAUAUAAGAAAUCAAAAUAACCUGAUUAAAGCUCGCGAAGAGAAGUAUCAGUCAAGGAUAAGAGUGCUGGAAGCACUAGCAGGUGGGCAAAGCGGGCAAACACAUAUGGAGAAAGAUAAGCUCAAAGACAAAGGACAACUACCAGAGGAAGAUAUGGCUAUGUUGAUGAAAUGCCAGGAAGAGGUGGCUAGAUUGAUGAAGGAGAAGGAAGAUAUGGUUAGGUUGCUGAAGGAGAAGGAAGAUAUGGUUAGGUUGUUGAAGGAGAAGGAAGAUAUGGUUAGGUUGUUGAAGGAAAAGGACGAUAUGGUCGACUUGAAAAAGGGCAAGGUGGAAGAAACACAGCAAAUAGUGGAUGAGGAAAAAUACAGGUUACUUAAGGAGAAGGAUGAUACUAUAGUGACAUUGAAAAAGGAGAAGCAAGAAAUGGUUAGGUCGUUGAAGGAGAAGGAAGAUAUGGUUAGUCUGUUGAUGGCAAAGGAAGAUAUGGUUGAUUUAAAAAAGGUCAUGGUUGAAGAAAGACAAAGAAUAAUCGAUGAAGGAAAUGAUAGGUUACUUAAGGAGAAGGAUGAUACUAUAUUUAGAUUCACAAAGGAGAAGGAAGAGAUGGUUAGGUUGUUGAAGGAGAAGGAAGAUAUAAUUAGGCUGAUGAAGGAGAAUGGCGAUGUGGUUAGGUCAAUACAGAAAGAAGAUAUGGUUAAUUCAGAAAAUGGUAGUAUUAAGGACAAAAAGCAAACAACAGAUGAUGGUAAUGAUAGAUUGAUUUCAGAGAAGAACACUAUUGUGGUUAGGUUGACAGAGGAGAAGGAAGAGAUGAUUAGGUUGCUGAAGGAAAAGGAAGAUACAAUUCGAUUGAUGAAGGAGAAGGAAGACAUUUUCAUGUCAUCGAAGGAGAAGGAAGAUAAUAAGGCUGACCUGAAAAAAGGCACAGUUGGAAACAUUAAGCAAUCAACUGAUGAAGACACAGAUACAUCAACUAAGGAGAAGGGCGACAUAAUUAGGUUGAUGAAGGAAAACGAAGAUUAUAACAAUACAAUUAUGAAACUUAAGCUGGACUUAGAAGCAUUAAAAUCAUUGCACGAGGAGAACUGCAAGUUGUUAGAAUCUAAGAAGGAAGAUAUAAUUAAGCUUCUUGCAGACAAGGAAGACAAUGCCAGUAUGAUUUUGCAACUCAAACAGGACAGCUUAACAAAGGAGAAUGAGGACAUUCUUAGGUUGAUGAAGGAAAAGGAGGAUGGUAACAGUAUAAUUGUGAAAGUUAAGCUGGAAAUGGAAGCAUUAAGAUCGUCAUACGAAGAAGCCUGCAAGCUCUUAGAAUCUAAGGAGGAGGAUGUAGUUAGGCUUCUUGCAGAUAAGGAAGACAAUGCCAGCGUAAUUCUGCAACUCGGGCAAGAGCUUGAAGCAACAAAAAGAUUGCAUGAGACACAUAGUCAGCAGUUAGAGACCAGAGCUUCCCAGGUAAAGGAGGAGUUGGAACAUAGGAUAAAAGAAGUAGAGCUCAUGUUAGAAGAUUCUAUCAAGAGAAAAAGGGAAUUUGAAGAAGUAUCUAAAUCUCGAAUCCAGUUCUGGGAGCAGAAAGGAAUAGUGGUCAACCAAUUUGUGGGUUUGCAAGUACAAAACAUUCAGGAUUUGAGGCUAUGUUCUGUUUCAGUUAGGCAUGAAAUCCUAAAUUGUCAAAAAAGAUGGCUUGAAGAACUAGCUGGCCUUGGACAAAACCUUAAGGUGGUAACAAAUGCUGCAGAAAAAUAUCAUGCAGCUCUUGAAGAAAACAGAAAAUUGUUCAAUGAGAUCCAGGAACUAAAAGGAAACAUCAGAGUUUACUGUCGGAUUAGACCUUUUCAACCUGGGGAGGAUGAGGGCUCCAAUUCAGUUGAAUAUAUUGGCGACAAUGGUGAACUCAUUUUAACGAACCCUACAAAACAAAAGGAAGGGGGCAAGAAUUUCACAUUCAACAAAGUAUUUGGGCCUACCACUACACAAGAUAUGGUCUUCAAGGAUAUUCAGCCACUAAUUAGAUCAGUUCUUGAUGGCUACAAUGUUUGCAUUUUCGCAUAUGGUCAAACUGGAUCAGGGAAAACAUACACUAUGAUGGGGCCUGAAAAGGCAACUGAAAAGGAAUGGGGCGUUAACUAUAGAGCACUAAAUGACCUUUUCAAUAUCUCCCAUGCUCGGCGAGACAUGAUCACAUAUGAACUUACUGUUCAAAUGAUUGAGAUCUACAAUGAGCAAAUCCGUGAUCUCCUUGGUGGUGGUGGUGCACAGAAGAAGAUAGGGAUUCAGAAUACCAUGCAGCCAAACGGAAUUGCUGUUCCUGACGCAACUAUAUGUCCUGUCAACUCAACUUCUCAUGUUAUUGAUCUAAUGCAAACUGGUCACGGCAAUAGAGCGAUGAGUGCAACAGCUUUGAACGAGAGAAGCAGCAGAUCUCACAGUGUUGUGACGAUUCAUGUCCGAGGCCAGGAUCUAAAAACUGGGAACACUUCACGUGGCGCUCUACACCUUGUGGAUCUUGCUGGAAGUGAGAGGGUGGACCGCUCUGCGGUUACAGGAGACAGGCUCAAAGAAGCACAGCACAUCAACAAAUCUCUGGCUGCUCUUGGGGAUGUUAUAUUUUCUUUAUCACAGAAGAAUGCGCAUGUACCAUACAGAAAUAGCAAGCUUACACAAGUCUUGCAGACUUCUCUGGGUGGGCAUGCAAAGACACUAAUGUUUGUGCAGGUCAAUCCAGACGUUUCGUCUUAUACAGAGACCUUAAGUACACUUAAGUUUGCGGAACGAGUGUCUGGGGUGGAACUAGGUGUUGCAAGGACCAAUAAGGAGGGAAAAGACGUCAAAGAUGUCAGAGAAUUGAUGGAUCAGCUUUCGAUGCUAAAAGAUACUAUCUCAAAGAAGGACGACGAAAUCGAACAGCUGCAGCUACUGAAUACUAGCACCUCCAAAUUGAAGUCCAACAGACAAGCUGAUCACAUAUUGAAGCAUUCAUCAUCUUCUCCGGGCAUAACAUCACUAGGAAAGGUCUCAAGUGUUGGUGGUGGAGCAGCUUCUGAUCUUGACAACUUCUCUGACACUAGUGACAGGCAAUCUGAAUCUGGGUCCAUGCUCUCCAUUGAACCUGAGGUUUCUGGUCUUGGUGAUGUUGAAUCUGAUGGAAGGUUAAGUGAUGCAUCUGAUGGGGGUAAUUCCACCGGUGCAGAAACUGACAGUUCAGUAAGCAGUGUGGUAGACCAAGGGCAAGAGAAAGCGUCUAGCGCUGUGAAAGAGCGGUUGACAAAGACGGUAUCUCGAGUUCAGAAGUUGACAGUCCGAAAAGCAUCAGGCUUGCGGCCUAAACCAAGGGAUCCUGCUGUUCCUAAACCCUCAGUGCCAACAGGGGCACGAAGAAAUACAAGCACCCAAGGAAUUCCACCAGCAAGAGCUACUAGUAGUGCAAAACGAGGACCAUAG
rnacentral:rRNA from 1 species